rnacentral:rRNA from 1 species
AUUCCUACGGGAGGCAGCAGUGGGGAACUUUGGACAAUGGGGGCAACCCUGAUCCAGCCAUGCCGCGUGCGGGAAGAAGGCCUUCGGGUUGUAAACCGCCUUUAGCCGGGAAGAAAAGGCCACGGACAAUACCCGUGGUUCUUGACGGUACCGGCGGAAUAAGCACCGGCUAACUACGUGCCAGCAGCCGCGGUAAUACGUAGGGUGCGAGCGUUAAUCGGAAUUACUGGGCGUAAAGCGUGCGCAGGCGGUUCGUUAAGUUUGCGGUGAAAGCCCCGGGCUCAACCUGGGAAUGGCCGUGGAAACUGGCGGGCUGGAGUGCGGCAGAGGGGGGUGGAAUUCCGCGUGUAGCAGUGAAAUGCGUAGAGAUGCGGAAGAACACCGAUGGCGAAGGCGGCCCCCUGGGCCGACACUGACGCUCAGGCACGAAAGCGUGGGGAGCAAACAGGAUUAGAUACCCUGGUAGUCUACGCCCUAAACGAUGCUCACUAGGUGUUCGGGGAGCGAUCUCUGAGUACCGUAGCUAACGCGUGAAGUGAUCCGCCUGGGGAGUACGGUCGCAAGAUUAAAACUCAAAUGAAUUGACGG